AUUGAACGCUGGCGGCAGGCCUAACACAUGCAAGUCGAACGGUAGCACAGAGAGCUUGCUCUCGGGUGACGAGUGGCGGACGGGUGAGUAAUGUCUGGGAAACUGCCCGAUGGAGGGGGAUAACUACUGGAAACGGUAGCUAAUACCGCAUAACGUCGCAAGACCAAAGUGGGGGACCUUCGGGCCUCACACCUUCGGAUGUGCCCAGAUGGGAUUAGCUAGUAGGUGGGGUAAUGGCUCACCUAGGCGACGAUCCCUAGCUGGUCUGAGAGGAUGACCAGCCACACUGGAACUGAGACACGGUACAGACUCCUACGGGAGGCAGCAGUGGGGAAUAUUGCACAAUGGGCGCAAGCCUGAUGCAGCCAUGCCGCGUGUAUGAAGAAGGCCUUCGGGUUGUAAAGUACUUUCAGCGGGGAGGAAGGCGGUGAAGUUAAUAGCUUCACCGAUUGACGUUACCCGCAGAAGAAGCACCGGCUAACUCCGUGCCAGCCGCCGCGGUAA
rnacentral:rRNA from 1 species